GAUGAACGCUGGCGGCGUGCCUAAUACAUGCAAGUCGAGCGAACAGACGAGGAGCUUGCUCCUCUGACGUUAGCGGCGGACGGGUGAGUAACACGUGGAUAACCUACCUAUAAGACUGGGAUAACUUCGGGAAACCGGAGCUAAUACCGGAUAAUAUAUUGAACCGCAUGGUUCAAUAGUGAAAGACGGUUUUGCUGUCACUUAUAGAUGGAUCCGCGCCGCAUUAGCUAGUUGGUAAGGUAACGGCUUACCAAGGCAACGAUGCGUAGCCGACCUGAGAGGGUGAUCGGCGACACUGGAACGGAGACACGGUCCAGACUCCUACGGGAGGCAGCAGUAGGGAAUCUUCCGCAAUGGGCGAAAGCCUGACGGAGCAACGCCGCGUGAGUGAUGAAGGUCUUCGGAUCGUAAAACUCUGUUAUUAGGGAAGAACAAAUGUGUAAGUAACUAUGCACGUCUUGACGGUACCUAAUCAGAAAGCCACGGCUAACUACGUG
rnacentral:rRNA from 1 species